CAUGUGACCCCUCGUCAUGUCCUUAUAUUGUUUGAACCAAGAAAGACUUAGGUGUGUUUCAUAUAAGGUCCUCAUAUUUUCUAAACCAGAUUAGUGUGUGUUACAAUGUUAAUGUCCAAGCUUUAAAAUGUGUGUCUCAAUUCAGGUCCUCAUAUUUUCUGAACCAGAUUUUAGUGUGUUUUAUAUUCUUAAUUAAUUGUCUAAGAGCUGAAACUCUGUAAUAAUCUUUACUAUUUAUCUGGCAUUGUAUGCUCAGAGUUUUAUCCACAAAAAGUGCUGAUAAUGUUAUAAUUAAUUAGUUCUGACAUUAUAUUUUUGUGUUUUGUUGCAGAAACCAACUGUUGAGGUUCCAUCUCAACAUUCUCCAGAUUCAGAUGUGAGCCAUUAACUGACUUCAUCCCUCCAACAGAAACCAACUGUUGAGGUUCUAUCUCAACAUUCUCUAGAUUCAGAUGACAGCCAUAAACCGACUUCAUCCCUCCAACAGAUUGACAGCAGGACAAAUCGCUGGAAGUAGGUAUGUCUCAAGCUUCUUCCACUUGGUCCACUCCAAAGCGGGGUAAAUAAAUAAUCCACAUCAUUUACUAGAAUAUUAUAUUACGUUUUGCACCUUUUCACUGUGUUAUAGUCAUUUUUCCUUCAGUAAGAAAUUGUAUUUUGUCUCCUUUAUGACACCUGCAAAGGGGAAGAAGUGGAAGCAGUUGAAUGACACAUGUUGCAUUUUGUAACUGGCAACAAAGUACCAGGUAAAAAAGAUUGUGAAGCCUGCCUCCAUAAAGAACUAGUAGCUCUACAGGACAGAGAUUGGCUUGCCAUCAAGUACUACAUCCAUAACAGAAUUAUAUUAAAAAAAGGGGAAAAAAAUGUUUUCCCACAUCUUCUGUGGUAGUUUGAGUAUGUUACCAGCAAUUAAAAAAGCAAAAUAAA